UGGGGAAUCUUGCACAAUGGGGGAAACCCUGAUGCAGCGACGCCGCGUGAGCGAUGAAGGUUUUCGAAUCGUAAAGCUCUGUCCUAUGGGAAGAUAAUGACGGUACCAUGGGAGGAAGCCCCGGCUAACUACGUGCCAGCAGCCGCGGUAAUACGUAGGGGGCGAGCGUUGUCCGGAAUUACUGGGCGUAAAGGGUUCGCAGGCGGCAUGGCAAGUCCGAUGUAAAAGGCGAAGGCUCAACCUUCGUAAGCAUCGGAAACUGUCAAGCUUGAGUGAAGGAGAGGCAAGUGGAAUUCCUAGUGUAGCGGUGGAAUGCGUAGAUAUUAGGAGGAAUACCGGUGGCGAAGGCGACUUGCUUGACUUCAACUGACGCUGAGGAACGAAAGCGUGGGUAGCAAACAGG
rnacentral:rRNA from 1 species